rnacentral:rRNA from 1 species
GAUGAACGCUGGCGGCGUGCUUAAUACAUGCAAGUCGAGCGAACAGACGAGGAGCUUGCUCCUCUGACGUUAGCGGCGGACGGGUGAGUAACACGUGGAUAACCUACCUAUAAGACUGGGAUAACUUCGGGAAACCGGAGCUAAUACCGGAUAAUAUAUUGAACCGCAUGGUUCAAUAGUGAAAGACGGUUUUGCUGUCACUUAUAGAUGGAUCCGGGCUGCUUUAGCUAGUUGGUACGGUAACGGCUUACCACGGCAACGAUGCGUAGACGACGUGAGAGGGGGAUCGGCCGCACUGGAGCUGGGACACGGACCAGGGUCCUGAGGGAGGGAGCAGAAGGGAAUCGUACGCAGUGGGGGAAAGCCUGACGGAGCAGGGCCGCGUGAGUGAUGAAAGUCUUCGGAGCGUGAAACUCUGUUAUUAGGGGAGAACAAAUGUGUAAGGAACUGUGCACGUAUUGACGGUACCUGGUCAGAAAGCCACGGCUAACUACGUG